UUAAUUGAAGCCAAAAAGCGGCAUAUCACUGUUAAUGAUAUUAUUAGAUAACUACCAUCUCAAUUAAA
rnacentral:tRNA from 1 species